rnacentral:misc_RNA from 1 species
UGCAGAGAAGAGGGAGAAGGAAAAGGCCAAAGAGAUAAAGCUUGCAUCAAAAAGUAGUAUAUUGGCUAAUAAAAAGAAGAUCAAUAAUGUUUUGACAAUGUGGAAGCAACGAAGUCAUGAAGGACAGGCAACCCGUGUGGCACUUGAUGACAACCAAAGUUUAGCAUCAACCGAAGACAAGUCUUUCCCUCUUGGACAAUCCAUG